AAUAACUAAUAUAUAUAUAUUAAUAAUAUAAUAAAUAACUAAUAAAUAUAUAAAUAACUAAUUAUGUUACGGUGCAACAUUAACAACACUGAAUUAGGAGAUAGAUUGAAAAACACGACGUUGAAGAUAACCGAUCUCUCCUUAAUCCGACUAAUUCUCACCAUGUAAGCAUACACGGACUCAAGAUUGUCAAGAAGUGUCACUGGAAAAUUCUCAAAUAACAGCUUGUGUUCAAGAGGCAAAAAGACAAAUCCAGGAUUUAAAGAUGAAGAAAAACAAAGCAUCAAGUUACCUUUACCGAUCGGCAAUUUUUUCUUCUACUCGCAAAUUUGAAUAUAAUGGAAAACAGUUAGAAAAGACUGAUUUAAAGUGAAAUUUUUAAUUGAGGUAUUUUCACAGAGAUGUUUAAAGACUACAGCAGAGUAAUAGCAUCGAAAGUUCCCUUGAAUCGAUUUUAGCAAAUAAUGCUUCAAUGACAGUUUGCCGAAAGAAAGCAUUACAUAAACCAAUUUUCAAUCCUAUAACUCCCUAUUAGCAAAAUUGAAUGUUAAAAUUAUGCUUCAACUUGCUUUUAUCUCUAUAAUAAACAUAUUUGGCCAAACAACCAAUAACACAAAUACACGUUAAUUAUAACAUAUCAUAAAAAUUUUUAUUAUCUUUUGAGACUAUCUUACACAUUCAAUAAGUAUGUAUCGUUUAUCGGAAACAUGUUCACCAAUAUGAAUUUUGC
rnacentral:misc_RNA from 1 species